rnacentral:rRNA from 1 species
UCGGUAAUUCCAGCUCCRAUAGCGUAUAUUAAAGUUGUUGCAGUUAAAAAGCUCGUAGUUGGAUUUGUGGUUGGAGCGACCGGCCCGACACAGUGUGUUGGUGCUUGGUUGUCUCCGUCCAUCCUUGGGUGGAACCUGUGUGGCAUUAAGUUGUCGUGCAGGGGAUGCCCAUCUUUUACUGUGAAAAAAUUAGAGUGUUCAAAGCAGGCUUACGCCGUUGAAUAUAUUAGCAUGGAAUAAUGAGAUAGGACCUGGGUACUAUUUUGUUGGUUUGCGCACCGAGGUAAUGAUUAAUAGGGACAGUUGGGGGUAUUCGUAUUCCAUUGUCAGAGGUGAAAUUCUUGGAUUUUUGGAAGACGAACUACUGCGAAAGCAUUUACCAAGGAUGUUUUCAUUAAUCAAGAACGAAAGUUAGGGGAUCGAAGAUGAUUAGAUACCAUCGUAGUCUUAACCAUAAACUAUGCCGACAAGGGAUUGGCGGUCGUUGUAUUGACCCCGUCAGCACCUUAUGAGAAAUCACAAGUCUUUGGGUUCCGGGGGGAGUAUGGUCGCAAGGCUGAAACUUAAAGAAAUUGAC